rnacentral:misc_RNA from 1 species
UCUACAUCCAAAUUAAAUAAAAUAGCACAGUUUUUAAAACUAGUAAACUAGCUAACGUGUUCCAACGUAAUAAUUAUAUAUGGGCAGCUGGAGUAGCUGCUAUAUUAGCUCCUUUUAUGGUGCUAAACAAAAGUGAACUUGAGAGGCAUCGAGUCAAAACAGUAAUCCUACUAUGCACAAUUCUCCUGUCUUAUGUCUAGCAUAAACCUUACGCAAACUUUUCAAGUAUGUACAUAAACAAUCAGUCUUGGUAAAAUCUCAAGUAUAACCAUGGUAAUCGGCAGUUCUGCCCAAUACUCUUCUGAUAUCACAUUUCUGAUCUGAACUAAGCCUUGACGGGAAUUUAACCUCAAACUUGAUCCUCAAAUUUCCUUUCUUUCCAGGUUCUUUCGAUAUUGGCAUUCCUUCAUUUGGGAUUUUCUGCUCAUGUCCUGGUUUAACAACAUCCGUGAUUGGUAUAGUGAGUUCCCUUCCAUCCAAAGCAGUCAGGUUGAUAGUUUUCCCAGCGAGAGCAUCUACUAAUGAGAUUUUUUGAUUGAUCACUAGAUCAUUCCCAUCUCUCUUGAAAACGUCAUGUGGCUUUUCAUCUAUUACAAAAAUAAGAUCACCAGGUGCAGCUCCAGACUCAUGAUUCCCUUUCUCUGGAAAAGUAAUUUUUGUGCCUUUCUUCCAACCAGGUUUAAUGUGUAUUGCCAAGACCUCUUCAAUAGUUGUGGGCUUACCAGCGCCAUCAAGAACAAUCCUUGAAAUCUUCAUUUUCCUCUUAGAGCCCUUGUAUAACUCCUCCAAGGUACACGGCAACUUGUUCUCCACCGGCGCAGCUUUCCUAAUCCGUACAGUACCACCAGUACUCCUACUAUACCCAUCCGAUCCACCAAAAAAUUCCGCGAAAAUAUCUUCCGCAUCACGCGAAUUGAACUUAAAUCCUCUUCUAUCACUAGGUGAGGAUGGAUCGAAUUGACCAGAUUUCAGUGCCUCAUCACCGUAUAUAUCAUAGAUCUGACGCUUCUGAGG